GUUAUAGUAAACAAAAACAACAUCGAGUGCGUUCCGUGCGAAUAAAAUUGCGACGUUUUGUAGCUUUUGGCACAGAAAUUUAACGAAGAUCCUGCAGGACACGGUAGAUUUUGAGUGCGGACGGUGAUUUGGACACCGUUAGGCAAAUAAUUUCUAAUCCAAUGCCGAUCAACUCGGAACUGGCAGAAAAGGGCGCUGCAAAAUGGACAAGACCGGUAUUGUUAGAUAGCGACGACAUUGGAUUAGUGUGUGCGAAGGUGACUAAGAUAUAGUACCAACUUGCUGAAUGCGCCCGGUGGCAACACGAAGUCGCUGCAUCUAGGCGCUGACAACAUGAUCUAACCACCGACAAGAGGGGCUACUCGGUUUGCCGUUGCUGGUGCUGAAACCCUCCCUGAAGAACCCAAGAGCUCGAGUCUAGAGGUGGACUUCUCCGAAGACGUCAAAUUCCUGCAGCAGAACGCGAUGGAGGCUUCGUAAGCUUCCAGCAUAAUCAGUGAUUACUAAAAUUGUCUCGCUUGAUUCCUGGGAAUGAGGGGGCGUGAUGACAACUACAUGCUUUCACGGUGCCAACGAGCGCUUCCAUGACAAAGUUGACCUGAGUGUUCAGCAGCUCCCGGUUCGCAGCUGCUUUGUCCAGCGCAAGGGUUGCAAAAUCGAGAAUCGAAGACGUGCUGCUAUCAAUGACAAGCUGCAUCAGGUCAUUCGUGUCCGCUUUCUUCACUUGUGUACAUUUGAUCGAACCCGGGCGUGAGAUGAAAAUACUGGCCGUAAUUUGGCGCGAGGAUCUGCAGCAGUUAGAUGUGACUUCCGUGUUCGAUUCUCAGACGUUUGGUGUGCCGUUUGUAAUAUCUCGAUUACAUUUUUUGCAUAACUGUAAGUC